GACGAACGCUGGCGGCGUGCCUAACACAUGCAAGUCGAACGGAGAUACGAUUUCGGUUGUAUCUUAGUGGCGAACGGGUGAGUAACGCGUGAACAACCUGACUCUAAGAGGGGGAUAACACUCGGAAACGGGUGCUAAUACCGCAUAAGACCACGACCCGGCAUCGGGAUGAGGUCAAAGGAGCAAUCCGCUGAGAGAGGGGUUCGCGUCCCAUUAGAUAGAUGGCGGGGUAACGGCCCACCAUGUCAACGAUGGGUAGCCGAGCUGAGAGGCUGAUCGGCCACACUGGAACUGAGACACGGUCCAGACUCCUACGGGAGGCAGCAGUGGGGAAUAUUGGGCAAUGGGCGCAAGCCUGACCCAGCAACGCCGCGUGAGGGAAGAAGGCUUCGGGUUGUAAACCUCUGUCCUUGGUGACGAAACAAAUGACGGUAGCCAAGGAGGAAGCCCCGGCUAACUACGUGCCAGCAGCCGCGGUAAGCUGUAGUCGU
rnacentral:rRNA from 1 species